UCCCUGGUGGCUCAGUGGGUUAAGGACUCAGCAUUGUCACUGCUGUGGUUCAGGUUCUAUCCCUGUUCCAGGAA
rnacentral:tRNA from 1 species